rnacentral:lncRNA from 1 species
CUAGAGAAGAGUGUGAAUCUUUCCAGAGGGAUGGAACAAAGCUAUUUAUUAUUACUUAUUUGUGUUACAGCAGUACCUAAGGACUCCAGCUGAAAUCGAGGCCCCUUUGUCUAGGCUUGGUACAAACAUACAGGAAGAGAGAGUCCCUGCUGAAGACAAAGGGUUGUGGGGAAGGGGAUAUGACCUACAACAGAGUGAACAAAUCUACAAAUGUCAUUAGGUUUACAGGUUCAGCUUCCAAUUAGGAUCCAGAAGCUUGAAUUCUUCUCUGACAGGCAUAUGAACUCUUUGAUUUGGAAAUCAGGCUGGAGGAAACCUCAAGACAACAAACCUUUGUGUGAUUUCAAAUACCGCGUCAUCAGCAUCACCGUCCCUGUAACCAGAAGCUAUGGGAAACCACCUUUCCAAAUGUGGAACCGGCCUGACCCUGUUUAGCUGGUGAGCUGUCAACUGGAUCCGAGCACAGAGCGGUAUAACUUCAAGCUAUAUUUAACUGGAGUGAAGGACUGCUUGGUUACUGCUCACAGACAGGAUAGUAAAGGCAGUCUCUCAGUUCAAAAGAGGUGCCAUUGGGGACCAGAUCAAGGUCAGAUAGGCACACGAGCUCCAACUGCAUUUUUGAUGUUAUUAUUUGGGUUUAUUAUUUACCAGGAAAUUAUCUACAUUUUCCAGCUCUCAUUUUACUGCACUUACGUGGGCUAAAAAACCACAACAAAUUCCCAGGAAUUAAUUGUACAGAAGUAGACUUUCAAUCCUAAAUGAAACAGACAAACCAAAACAGUUGCUCACACACACAUACAAAACCAUAUGCGUGAGCAAGCUGAAAGUUUUAUUUUUAGUUCUAUUGUUUUCAAAAUGUUUAGAGACAAAACACUUGAGAUAAUGUCUGGAGAAAUCUGAGAGUAAAAAGAGCAGAUUUUUGAAUACAUUCUCUGUGCUAUGAAUGAAUUAAAAUCUGAGCCUGCUUGUCUCUAGUAAUCACUUGGAGGAACUGUACACCUGCUGACUGUAAGUACCAGCCCCUGCUUAUAUGUACUGGAAAAAUAACUGCAGCUCUGAUUACAUGAGUGACCUGAUGCCCUGAAAAAACAAAGCUUUGUAAUUCUGGUAACAAUUCCCUAGAUAAUAGAGAAUUUGGUUUGAGAACUUUUGUAUUUAUAUUAUUUGUUUUGGUCUAGUGGAAGCCUAAGCAUUUGAGUCUUUGUUGCCUUUUCAUUUUGGCCAACCCUUCCACUUUGACCUCCCACACAACUCUUUUUCUACUCACUUCCCGUUAUGACUCCUGAACUCUGAGGGAGAAGGAAAUAUUUGGCCUUCCCUAUG